rnacentral:rRNA from 1 species
GGUCCCAGUUCGGAUUGUAGGCUGCAACUCGCCUACAUGAAGUCGGAGUUGCUAGUAAUCGCGGAUCAGAAUGCCGCGGUGAAUGCGUUCCCGGGUCUUGUACACACCGCCCGUCACACCAUGGAAGUUGGGGCGCCCGAAGUUGCCUAAGAAAUAAGGUACCUAAGGCGAAACCAAUGACUGGGGUGAAGUCGUAACAAGGUAUC